rnacentral:rRNA from 1 species
UACAGAGGUCCCGAGCGUUGUUCGGAUUCACUGGGCGUAAAGGGUGCGUAGGUGGUGAGGAAAGUCGGAUGUGAAAUCUCCGGGCUUAACCCGGAAAUGGCAUUGGAAACUACCUUGCUAGAGGUUUUGAGGGGGGACUGGAAUUCUCGGUGUAGCAGUGAAAUGCGUAGAUAUCGAGAGGAACACCGGUGGCGAAGGCGGUUCUCUGGGCAUUACCUGACGCUGAGGAGCGAAAGUGUGGGGAGCGAACAGG